rnacentral:rRNA from 1 species
CCUACGGGAGGCAGCAGUGGGGAAUUGUUCACAAUGGGCGCAAGCCUGAUGACGCAACGCCACGUGGGGGAUGAAGGUCUUCGGAUCGUAAACCCCUGUCGAAUGGGACGAAUAGCUUCCGGAUUAAUACCCCGGAGGAAUGACGGUACCGUUAAAGGAAGCCACGGCUAACUCUGUGCCAGCAGCCGCGGUAAUACAGAGGUGGCAAGCGUUGUUCGGAAUUACUGGGCGUAAAGGGCGCGUAGGCGGCCAUCUAAGUCAGACGUGAAAUCCCCCGGCUCAACCUGGGAACUGCGUCUGAUACUGGAAGGCUAGAGUUUGGGAGAGGGAUGUAGAAUUCCAGGUGUAGCGGUGAAAUGCGUAGAUAUCUGGAGGAAUACCGGUGGCGAAGGCGGCAUCCUGGACCAAUACUGACGCUGAGGCGCGAAAGCUAGGGGGAGCAAACGGGGAUUAGGAUACCCCGGGUAGUCCCUAGCCCUAAACGAUGAAUACUUGGUGUGGCGGGUAUCGAUCCCUGCCGUGCCGAAGCUAACGCAUUAAGUAUUCCGCCUGGGGAUACGGUCGCAAGGCUGAAACUUAANGAAUUGACCGG